rnacentral:rRNA from 1 species
UACAGAGGGUGCGAGCGUUGUCCGGAAUCACUGGGCGUAAAGGGCGCGUAGGCGGCUCAGUAAGCGUGCGGUGAAAGCCCGGGGCUCAACCCCGGGUCGGCCGUGCGAACUGCAGAGCUGGAGCACUGUAGAGGCAGGUGGAAUUCCGGGUGUAGCGGUGGAAUGCGUAGAGAUCCGGAAGAACACCGGUGGCGAAGGCGGCCUGCUGGGCAGUGGCUGACGCUGAGGCGCGAAAGCGUGGGGAGCGAACAGG